rnacentral:lncRNA from 1 species
ACUGGAUCCAUUUUGAAAGGACUGUUUCCAGUUGGAAGAAACUUGAUUUGAACCAGCCAGCCACUUCUUCCUUGAAUAUUGUACCCAUCCCCACAGGCACUCAUGUGAAUGGACCCCUAGACAGAAGGAAAAGGAGACUCCUGUUUUGUUGUUGUGCUGAGUCAUCUGGUUCCAUUUAAAGAAGGCAUCCUAACUCAGGCUCUCUGCUGGUGAGAGGCCCUUGGUCGAUGUUGGGCCCCAUGUUUCAGGGUCACAGAUUGCACUUGGGUCCUUCAGCUCUCUGGCCUGGCCUUGUUCAUCACCGCUAAGACUGGGACUCUGAAGCCCAGUGCCUCUUGGACACCUACACAGGAGGACGAUUUCUGGGAAGAGGAGGCAUCAUGGGAAACCCUGUCCCAAGAGACCAUUCCUUCCUCAUGUGAGUCUUGAUAGUGAUGUCACAGUCACUGUGACUCACCUCUCCCGAAAGCAUUAGUGUGUUAGUAAUAACAGUAAUUAGCAUUCACCUGGGGUUUUACAAGCAGGAGGUAACGGCAACAUAGAACUAUCUCAUGAGGUGGCAAGGCCGGGAUUAUCAUGUCCAUUUUGCAAAGAGAAAAUAAAAAACAGACAAGGUGGGUGACUCACCAGAACUGGACCAGGAGACAGCUGUCUGGAGAAACAACAAGAUAAGGAGUUCCUUGUACCCAGGGGGAAGUCACGUGUGUGUUUUAAUUUUUAUAACCUUUUCUUUAAAAAAGGGAUACAUGCCGAUUGUAGAAAAAUAGGGAAAUAG